rnacentral:rRNA from 1 species
UACAGAGGGGGCAAGCGUUGUUCGGAAUUACUGGGCGUAAAGGGCGCGUAGGCGGCCCGCUAAGUCGAACGUGAAAUCCCCAGGCUCAACCUGGGAACUGCGUCCGAUACUGGCAGGCUUGAAUCCGGGAGAGGGAUGUGGAAUUCCAGGUGUAGCGGUGAAAUGCGUAGAUAUCUGGAGGAACACCGGUGGCGAAGGCGGCCUGCUGGGCAGUGGCUGACGCUGAGGCGCGACAGCGUGGGGAGCAAACAGG